ensembl:snRNA U1 U1 spliceosomal RNA
AUACUUACCUGGCAGGGAGACACCAUGAUCACCAAGGUUCCCAAUGCCAGGCCUAUCCAUUGCACUCUGCCAAGUGCUGACUCUUGCAAUCUCUCAAUGUGGGAUACUCAACUGCCUGAUUCGUGGUAGUGGGGGACUGUGUUCACACUUUUCCCUG